GACGAACGCUGGCGGCGUGCUUAACACAUGCAAGUCGAACGGUGAAGGGGUCUGCUUUUGUGGGCCCUGGAUGAGUGGCGAACGGGUGAGUAACACGUGAGUAACCUGCCCCCUUCUUCUGGAUAACCGCAUGAAAGUGUGGCUAAUACGGGAUAUUCUGGGUCUGUCGCAUGAUGGGUCUGGGAAAGAUUGCGCCUUUGGGUGUUUUUGGUGGGGGAUGGGCUCGCGGCCUAUCAGCUUGUUGGUGGGGUGAUGGCCUACCAAGGCGGGGACGGGUAGCCGGCCUGGGAGGGUGGACGGUCGCACUGGGACUGAGACACGGCCCAGACUGCUACGGGAGGCAGCAGUGGGGAAUAUUGCACAAUGGGCGCAAGCCUGAUGCAGCGACGCCGCGUGAGAGAUGGAGGCCUUCGGGUUGUAAACCUCUUUCGCCAGUGAAGCAGGCCUGCUCCUUGUGGGUGGGUUGACGGUAGCCGGAGAAGAAGCGCCGGCUAACUACGUG
rnacentral:rRNA from 1 species